rnacentral:rRNA from 1 species
GGCUCAGGAUGAACGCUAGCGACAGGCUUAACACAUGCAAGUCGAGGGGCAGCAGGGAGUGCUUGCACUUCUGUCGGCGACCGGCGCACGGGUGAGUAACACGUAUGCAACCUGCCCUUGUCAGGGGGAUAAGCGAGGGAAACCUCGUCUAAUACCGCAUAUAUGGUUUUGAGGCAUCUCCUUUCAUCUAAAGAACUUCGGAAACGGAUAGGCUCGCGUGACAUUAGCUAGAUGGCGGGGUAACGGCCCACCAUGGCGACGAUGUCUAGGGGUUCUGAGAGGAAGGUCCCCCACACUGGAACUGAGACACGGUCCAGACUCCUACGGGAGGCAGCAGUGAGGAAUAUUGGUCAAUGGUCUGACGACUGAACCAGCCAUGCCGCGUGAAGGUGACGGCCCUAUGGGUCUUAAACUUCUUUUGUAAGGGAGCAAUAAGUUCUACGUGUAGAGCGAUGAGAGUACCUUACGAAUAAGCAUCGGCUAACUCCGUG